rnacentral:rRNA from 1 species
UACGUAGGGUGCAAGCGUUGUCCGGAAUUAUUGGGCGUAAAGAGCUCGUAGGCGGUCUGUUACGUCGGCUGUGAAAACCUAGGGCUCAACCUGGGCCUGCAGCCGAUACGGGCAGACUAGAAUUCGGUAGGGGAGACUGGAAUUCCUGGUGUAGCGGUGAAAUGCGCAGAUAUCAGGAGGAACACCGGUGGCGAAGGCGGGUCUCUGGGCCGAUAUUGACGCUGGAGGAGCGAAAGCGUGGGGAGCGAACAGGA